AUGCGUCUAGAAUCCUGCCUGCAGGCAGAGAGUGCCAGUCGUCUGGCUUUCGGGGAACUAGGGCUAGCUCUCUGCCUCGGAACUGCUGGUGGGUUUUACCAAGGCCUCCUGCAGCUGUGUUCCUAUAAUUCGCCCCUCUACUUUGCAGCAGGCACCAGGCUCACUGUGACAGAGGAUUUGAGCAAGGUGAGUCUGCCCAAGGUCACCUUGUUUGAGCCAUCAGAGGCAGAGAUCGUCGACAAACAAAUGGCCACCCUUGUGUGCCUGGCCAGGGGCUUCUACCCUGACCACGUGGAACUGAGCUGGUGGGUGAAUGGCAGGGAGGUCCACAGUGGAGUCAGCACAGACCCUCAGCCCUACCUGGAGAACAAUAACCUCACCUACUGCCUGAGCAGCCGCCUGAGGGUCUCUGCGACCUUCUGGCACAAUCCUCGCAACCACUUCCGCUGCCAAGUCCAGUUCUAUGGGCUUACAGAUGAAGAUGAGUGGACCGAGUCCUCCUCGUCCAAGCCUGUCACCCAGAACAUCAGUGCAGAGGCCUGGGGCAGCGCAGAUUGUGGCAUUACCUCAGCAUCCUACCAACAAGGGGUCCUGUCUGCCACCAUCCUUUAUGAGAUCCUGCUGGGGAAGGCCACCCUGUACGCUGUGCUUGUCAGUACCCUGGUGCUGAUGGCCAUGGUCAAAAGAAAGAAUUCCUGAGGCCAGGCUAGGAGGCGGAGCCCGGAACUUCCAACCCCUUGUGUUGCUAAUACAGAUUCUCAUUUUCCAGCACUUCUGAAGAGUUGUCCUCAUUUGCCUGUGUGUCCCAACGUCUGCUUAUUAGUCAUGUGCACUUACCCAUGUGCAUCUGAAAU